UUUUUUUUUGCUUUUUUUGUGUGGUCGUGUAUCAUGGAUGUACAUGUUCAAACUUCUCCUCUUCUUAAUAAAAAAAUAUGCUAUGCACAUCAUAAAAAAACAUUGAGAAAUAAAUUAAUCUAAAACCAAAAUCAUAAACAUGAACAGACAUGUAAAACAAAGAUCGAGCGGAGAAAUGAGAUUACCGACGCAUCAACUUAUAAAACUUGAUCUUUUUUAUACAGAAGAUAUAUUUAAAAGAUGCUUACACAAACCAUAUGAAAGAUCUACUGAAAACCAAAACUCUAGUCCCUAAAUAGGUCUCCUCAUUUUUCUCUGUCCUAGAAAAACCCAAAUCGGCGGCCUCUUGUCCUCCACAAAAAGCCAUUACGAGUGGGUCGGUCUCCUUCCUUUAUAUUGCUCGCGUCGAACACACCUUAACUUGGCCCUUUGCUUCUUUUUCUUACUAGAAAACCAGGCGCGACGGUGCCGCGCCCUACGCGGAGCAGACCAGCCUAUGUGUAGAGCUCACGGCCUGUUUUGUUGUUUGGCUAGUUUAUAUCGUGCUUCUUGCAAAAGUAUUAUUUAGAGUUGGCUUAGUGGUUUAGCAAUAAGCAGAUCGUCUUUUGGAUAUAUAUUUUUUCUGGAAAAGACGAUGUUAAAGCUAACAUAAUUCGUUUCAUGGAUGGAAAAAUCCACGGAAUGAUGGAAAGCCAGUGUCCGACACCAGCUCAUAAAAAACAAAUUGGUUUAAACCGUUCUUGUACUUGGCUAAGGAAAAGUUGGACCUUGUCACCGGAUUUUUGUUGAGGAAGCUUCAUAUCUAAAUACUACAUUUUGUCUCAUUAUUGUUACUGUAGGUCAAACCUGUAUAAAUGUAGGUCAAAGCAUACAUCAUGGAACUGGAAGAAGCAGGACUAUACACGGCAACAAUCAGAAUAAACUAACAAAGGGUCUCACAUUCGUUGCUAUUUCAGAUAUGACAGAAUUGCAUUGAGGAAUAAACACAAAAGCGAAACACAAUUACUAAAAUGUUUAGAAACAUUGCUCUCUCAUAGUUAUCUGCUGCUUAUAGUAACCAAAGCACCCAAACUUGUGAAGUUCUCCUUGAUGGGCUACGAACAUAGUACCAAAAGAUAUUCUUCGACUCCCAAAGUUACUUCAUGAAAAUUAUACAAAGUCACGACUUAUAAUUGUCAUGGAAUGAAGAUAAUAAUAGCUGAAGCAAGAGGGGGGUAAAAACGUCUGCAGAUUUGAAUAUGUUUUUUAUUUUAUUACCCAAGAUGAAAUAUGUAUUGAAGUCAAUACUUUCCUACAUGAAUAGUAGUAUAACUACUGCCUUGAACUGGAGUAAAACGUUAUGAGCCCCAAGAAGCUUUCGCUGAGUAUAUAUUAAAUCCAAUUCACAUUGUAGCUUCCCGGCAAAGCUGGCAGCUUUGAUGUUCAAAAAUUUCAAAUUCACAUAUACAAAAUAAAGAGUGCAGUUGCUAACCUACCAUGAGAACAUACCUUUAUGGCGUCAGAAAUGUCUUGGAUGCUGCAAUCAUAUCAUAUAUAAUCCUACUGAUUUAUGUUACUUUAUGUCAUAAAGAAUUUCAUUCUCAUAGCAACAGCCAGCGCCUUUGUGCAUCCAAAAGAAUUUUAGAGCAGUUGGGCUUACAAACAACCAUAUAUGUAUGAGGAAACCAUGAAGCAUCAGGACAACAUGAAAAUUACAUAUGUAAUUCCAGACAGAAAAGUUGCGGCAAGGUGGAUCAUCUUAAAUUCUUAAUAUUUUAAGAAAACUUGCAUGUUGCAUCAUGCUCCCUUGAAUCAGAGUCAUACAAUGAUACAAGUGCUACUCGUCUCAGGACUGAAGCUCGAGUUCUUUCUUAGUAAGUUGCUUUCAGUUGAGAGUCGAGAGAUAAGUUUUCAGACCAAGAAAUGAUGUAUCCUACUUAACUAUUCUUUCUUUUUUUUCUCGCAUCUACUUACUGUAUUUGAUCGUUAUGAUAUUUAUCUCGGAUUCUUAGAAACUUUGGGCCUCUUGAUUGGUACUCUGUUCUGUUCUUACGUUUUUGAUGAGAUGCGUUGUUUGAAUACUGUUUUCAGGUUGGUCAUACCUGCGCUGCGCAUCUCCGGCUGUAGGAGUGCUGGCCGCCGUGAGAGCUCCACUCCCACAUUGGUGUUGGGGAGCCGCGCAGCGCUUGGCCGGCCGCUCUCCGCCUCCCUGGUCCCUGCACCCGCGACACUGCGACAGGGCCACAUCUCUCCCCACCCCGCGGCGCCAGGACCGCCACGAGCAGGGCGUCCCAGAGAAGCGCCCUGAGGCCCGAGGCAACCGCGUGGCUCGUUGCCGUUGCAGGGGAAGCUCUCCGCGGGUGGGCAAGAGAUGCACCGAACCUCCGUCGGUGAAAUCGAGGGCGACGAGGCAGGUAGGCAACACAGCACAUAGAGGGCGGAGGGCGUCUUGCGGCGUGGCGAGCGGUGGGAGGCACGGGCUGUGCAGCAGGUAGAGGAAGGCGCGGGCGGCUGGGCAGACGGAGGGCAGCGGGCGGCGCGGCAAGCAGACGACGACGUGCUAGGUGAAGUCGUGAAGGGAUGCGGGGGUGGCGUUUUCCUCGUGCUCCGGUCGAAGACUCUAGAUUCUAGAAUCUAGAGACGCCGCCCUUGUGCCUGCGCUUGAACGGCCCGAUCAAGAUCCGAUGGUUGGGAAUUGCAGGCGACGUGGCCCAAUACCCAGCCAGAGCUUGUCCGCACGGGCUUCAUUGGUUUGAUGCCAAAAUUUUGGCAUACCAGAGUUUUGACAAGCCAAAAGUUAGGUAAAAAACUUGCCAAAACUUUGAUAGGAUAAAUGAGAGAUACUGGCAAAAUUUGGUACCUAACGAAAUACCAAAUAGUGGCCAAAAAUUUGGCAAACCAAGCAAGCCCUUCGUCACUUAGAGAUUUCUCCGAGCCAACCCAACAACACCUGGGCUUCUUCCUUGACCUAAACGCUGCACAGGCCAUCACGCGCGGCCCACUGAUUGGAUCAGCCCAGUCCAGUUCAUUCCAUUCUUAUGCGUCAUCACUCGUCGGCCUGUCAGGCUUUUCCAAAAGCGGGGAGUGACUAGACAAAUUUGGUUUUUUUUAUUAGUCGAAUCUUGAACAAAUAGAAAACUGCCACAUACUAGUAAGGUUAGGACAUGAAAAUUUUGUGACAAUACGAAAGAAAAGAAAUCGAAUGUUUGCUUUUAGGCCAUUUUUUCGUAAAGUGAAUUUCGUUUCAUCGGUCAAGUAAGUGAUGGUCUUGUUGGCAUUUGCCGUCGGAAUCGCUGACAGCGAGAGCGAGCCGGCCUACGGCUCGUUCACGGGAAAAAAAUCGAUUGAUGGUAGGAAAAAAGAACACUGACUAUUCAUUUGUAUUGAUGAGAUUAGUAUUCGUAUAUGAAUUUAGAUUAAAAUGUAAUAAAUAGUACUAUUUAAAUUUGACUAUAUGCAUAUUCGAUCCGAAUCCAUCCCCACUAAUAAAAGAAGUAUAUAGAACAUUAAAGUUCCGUUUGGAAGGGUUUCUCUCAAACGGCUUCAAUGGUGAAGCCAAAGCUGGUGAAGCUAAAAAAGUAGUUUCACUUGGCUUCUAGUUCAUUUUAACACCGGCUUCAUGCGAUAUCAUCUUGUUUUGUGCAAAACAGGUGGAGUCAAAGCUAAAAUAAACCCUUCUUUGCUGAAGAUAAAUAAUAAUUCCGGCUAAACUGGAUCGUCUCACUUUUUUGUUCGGUAGUAGUACUUUGUACCACCAUAAUGGCCCAAUGUCCGAGCGUGGUAGUGGCCCAGCCCAGACACGCACCGGCCCAACAACGGCCCAUCUCAUCUCAUUCAUGUGUCGUCAGCCUGUCAUGGCUUUCCAAAACAACCGCGCUCUUUUUACAGCUCACUUUGCCUCCUACUCUCUCCAAUCCAUCGAGCUAGGUGAGCGUGCACACUGCAACAAAACAAAACAACAGAGCACGUCCAAUGAUAGCCACCUCCGAGCCUUUUCUGCUCUCAUCAGGUGCUCCUCCAAAGCGAACCCGGCGGUCAUGAUCUUUUUCGACCAGGCCGGCUUCCACGGCACACAGGGACAACACGACACGAUCACCCAAAAGGUUGGGCCAGCCCAUCUGGAAGAAGGCAGAGCAAAGGGAAACGUAAAGAAAAUUGACGCAGAGAGAAGGACAGGAGAUGAUGGGGAGCCCGAUGCUCGAGUUUCACCCCACCCCGAUGCCCGAGCAAAGCAAAGCCCCUUCUUCCAAGAAAAAGAAAUAGUAGUAUUUUUUGUAAAAAAAAAACACAUGCCAGUGACAAUCGAUUACGAUUUCGAAACGUUGGAUGGGAAGAACCAUGUGUGCGUACGUGUCAAGGCCGACGUGAGCAAGUACGCGCUCGAAACUUGAGAUGGACUCGAGGAUCCGAUCCAAGUCCAAGCUCGGCAUGUGGACUUGUAAAUUUCAAGCAAAGCGAGCUGGGACUUUAGGAAGGUAUGGUAGCUGGUGAGAGGUAUUAGGGUGAGAUUCAAACCUCAAAGAAUGCAGGCUCCGAGCUUCGGAUUUAAAACAGGGCCUUGAUUCCCGCUCCCGGCAGGGCGCACACAUGGAGGAUCGUCGUCACGUCUCUGGAACUACUCUGCAGCAUGCUCACACGUCGGUUUGAGUAAUUGUUAAUCAAUUUGGAGAUCUUGAUGUACUAUGGAUCUUAAUUCACAUUGUUAACUAGCAAGUCGUAGCAACAGUCAACUUGGAGAAUAUUGUCACUGCACCACCAUUAGGCCUAACAACGUGAUCCAUCAGAGUGUUCCAACUGUCAGGACAUGUACUGAUAUACAUGGCCGGGUCACUGGUAAGUGGGCUGCAAAGAGGGAGGAGACGAUGGACAUAUCAUUCCAAUAUUUUAAAUUUUAAUCGAGGCCUGUCACCGACAUAUGGGACCCACCACAAAAGUUCCUAGGCAACCAUUGCAACUUUAUUAUUUACAUGAAUCUGAGACGACAUUUGGUAGUUGUAACAUGUUAGAUGGACUUCAACAUUGUCAAACGAGACAGACACUAGACAAUAACAUCAAUGAACUGUGUGGGCACUUUUUUUUUGCUACAGUGAACUGAACUAUUACAUCACUGCCCAUGACUACCAACAAUCCCUUCACUGGUUAGCAUUAACUGCACAUACCACCUCUCACUCAUUAUUUUUCCCGUUUUAUUUUUACGAGUGAGCAUACAUCACCGUGGUAGUGACAAUUUGACUGUAAAUUCAAAAAAAAAAAGGAAAAAAACACUACCUUUAUAUGAGGGUAUGCUUUUAGGUUUCAACAUCUCAAUAGCGAACUUGUAAGCUGUAUUGCAUUUUUUUGAACGAAUCGGUACAAGAUUGUGCCAAUUUUAUUGAUAAAGGACAGAUGAUUAGAACUGAAUUAUUCUCACAAGAUUAAGGUCGCCAUGUCUUUUGCCCCUUCCAGAGUCCAUGAACGCAUUACAUAUGCCACAGCCUGGCCAUCCAAUUCAACGCUACAAAGCCCAAAUUAAACUCGCCGAGUGAACAUGUAAAGGUGGUGCAAGCAAAGCAACCUGGAAGCACUAGCUAAGAACCCUACAGUAAAAUUCAAACAUCAAAGAAUAAGGCUUUUUCAACUUUUUUGAAUUUUAAACCGCGCCUCGACCCCCGCGCGCGGUUUGCACGUGGCCGAUUGACACCACAUCUUUGGAACUACCCUAGCCAUCAACUCGGACGAGAGAUGCUGAUCAUGCGGUCCCAUUUGUUAACAGUCAAGUUGUAGCAACAGUCAACUCCAAAAAAAAAAAAUACUAACAUAUUGUUGCGUCUGCUCCCCCCCCUCAUCCCUGAAGAUGAAACGAAGUGUCGACGAGCAGCAAAGUCGGCGGUUUGUGCGUACUUGCAGGGUGAUGCAUUGAUUGAUAACCUAACAAUAUAGAAAUUAAAAAUUCUAGUAUUUGCCGAUGCACAGAGAGAGCUAGCUCAGGUAACGGUCGCUCGGCUAUGCCACUGACACGCGGGCCCAGCACGAGGGCUAGGGAAUCAAAAGAAUAAUUGGCGGGCAUUGAAGCUGACAUGCGAUGAUGCGAGCCCCCACAAUGAUGACGCACCUGCCGACGCCCUGAGCAGGCACUGCUCGGGGCAUCAAGCAUCAUCGUACAAGAUGGAUCACUAUUAUAUCCUACGGAUUGAGAACCGGCAUGUGGCGGUUUUAACAUGGUAGGUGGACUUUUUUGCAUUACGAUUUUUUUUAAUCGUUCACAAACAAACCGUAUAUGUAUAUUCUUAUUCCUCUGCAAUCAAGAGAAUACAUCCUGACCCUGUGGGCCCCGGCAGACAGCUGGUUAAAAGAAUAGAUCAGACUAAGGUCAGGUUAGAUUGAGUGCAAGCCAAUGCAUGUCGUAUGGUAGAAGCUGCUGGCUGGCUCCAAGAACUUGAGUGUAAUCAGCAGCAGGACAAAGCGUAGAUGGGUUGCAGCGGCAUCGAUCGGUUCUGCUGCUGUUUGCCAAAGCAUUGUGAAAGCUGAGGAUUGGUAUCCCUCCCUUCCUCCCCGUAACUACCAACAGUUGGGUUCACACAGUUCCUGGCAAGAGCUGAAUUAUCUGUCGGCAUUUCGAUGUCUACUUUGUGCCCUUGUGGCGGUGGCAAUAAAGAGCGGUACUCUUUUUUCCGUCUGUCUUUGUAGAAGAAGAUGAGAACCGGGCAAAAAGCUCUGUUCUGGAGCCUCUGACUGUGGAGGUUGCUCAAACCAUGCAGUGGCAUUCUCCUGUGAAGAUUAUUGAAAAUUACCGGUCAUUGGUUGAUUGGUUGGAUACCAUUUUCCUCUCUUCAUUCCGGAGAAUCUCGUAACACGAAUCAAAAUCCAGACGCCACACUCUAAUGCUACACUGAUCUGAUUGGACGGUUCAUGGAGUUCACGCGUUAUCCUCUUAUCCCUGUCUAACGAGCACAUCACCUUGCUUGGCCGAAAUGGAUGUGGGAUCUUUACAUUUAUUUUCUUUAAAAAAUUAUUAAGAAUUUCUUUUACAUUAGAAAAAAAAUACGCCGGCCAAAAAUUCAAAGGUACAGUGGGGGCACAAUCAUAUCCACAUGCUCAUAUGCAAAGGAAUAUUGUUCAGAUAGAAUCAUCACCAUUGCAGCAGCCAGUCUGCAGGGCACAAACAAAUCCCCAUUGCUCAUGAACAAUAAACAAAGUUGCACUGGUUACCACUGCUAAACUUUACAUAUCACCAAGCAUUAGCCUUACAAAAACCGGUUAUUGGCUAGCCAUCUUUUUACAUGUAAUUACCAGCCUCCAUUACAGACAUACGACUCCACUCUCCAUCCACCCAUUUCACCAACAA
rnacentral:lncRNA from 1 species